CCCUUAGAUGUUCUGGGCUGCACACGUGCUACACUGGCAGGUUCAGCGAGCUUCAUGCCCUGAUCUGAAAGGAAUGGUAAAUCUUUUCAAAACCUGCCGUGCUUGGGAUAGAUGUUUGCAAUUAUUCAUCUUCAACGAGGAUUGCCUUGUAAGCGCACGUCAUCAGCGUGCAUUGAAUACGACCCUGUAUUCUGUACACACCGCCCGUCGCUCCUACCGAUUGAAGUUUUCGGUGAGUUGACAGGAGGAUUUUUUUGAAACUGGUUCGCCAGUGGAUUUUAGAUCCAAAUGCCAACGAAUCGAUGGCUUUAGAGGAAGGAGAAGUCGUAACA
rnacentral:rRNA from 1 species